GCUUCUGUGGUGCAGUGGUAGCACGCGUCCUGGGUAUGGACGAUACGCAGUUUCAACUCCUGUCUGAAACU